CAGGACCCAGAAGCCCAGAGAAACAACGGAGGUUCCUCUACUAAUACUUUGGUCGCGUCUUGCUUUUUGAAAGUGUUUCAACAAUGGGUAUGUAGAUGAGCACACGUAUGGCUGUGCUGGACCUUUGCCUCCUUUCCCUUCUCUUCUCGUUGCCUGGGAGGCUGGCCUUCAGUGGACCACACCUGCAGCAGAUCUUCUGUGCCCGCCAAUUCCAGAAGCAGUCUUGUUGGAUUAAAAGGCGUGAAUAGUUGAGUUCUUGAUCCACGUGUCAAACUGUGGAGCUUCAUUUUGAAGUGGGAUUGCUUCUUCUUGUCACCUGGUCUGUCCAGUGUCCCAUGAGGAGCAGAAUCCUGCUGCAACCAUGCAGUGAGCUUGGAAAUGGAUUUCUUCCCAGUUGAGCCUUCAGAUGACUGCAGCCCCCUCAGCACCUUGAUUGCACCUGUGAGACAUCUUCAGCCAGAGGACUCAGGGUACAGGACCAACUCUGAAAACAAGGACAAAAUACAAACA